rnacentral:rRNA from 1 species
UACGUAGGGGGCAAGCGUUGUCCGGAUUUAUUGGGCGUAAAGAGCGUGUAGGCGGCCAUACAGGUCCGUUGUGAAAACUGGAGGCUUAACCUCCAGACGUCGAUGGAAACCGUAUGGCUAGAGUCCGGAAGAGGAGAGUGGAAUUCCUGGUGUAGCGGUGAAAUGCGCAGAUAUCAGGAAGAACACCUAUGGCGAAGGCAGCACUCUGGGACGGUACUGACGCUGAGACGCGAAAGCGUGGGGAGCGAACAGG